CAGGGAGACAACAAAACGUUAAAUAUUAAUUUUGUCACCUUAGGUCGAUCGGUAUCUCACAUUUUUAAUUUAUUAAGAAUUUUAUUUCCUAAGUUUUUUCUAGGUCACACCCAUUACUUUCCCUGGGCCAUUAGCUCAGGUGGUUAGAGCGCACCCCUGAUAAGGGUGAGGUCCCUGGUUCAAGUCCAGGAUGGCCCAUAUCUCUAUGUUGGGGGUAUAGCUCAGUUGGUAGAGCGCCUGCUUUGCAAGCAGGAUGUCAGCGGUUCGAGUCCGCUUACCUCCACUGAUUACCACCUCUUCCAUAAUGUUUAGAAGGGAAAUGUUAUGAGUUUUGAUCAAAUUCUGAACGAAUCUAGCUUCCUAAUUAAAUUUAUUAAGAUGCUGGACUCAUUGAAUUAAUUUCAUUGUUUUCAGAGAACCUUGACAACUGCAUAGAUUUUUUUUUAAAGACAAUAAGCAUCUUUUAAUGAUGCAGAUUUAUUAUUUGUGCGAAUGCAUUAAAUAACAAUUCUAUUAAGCUGAUGCUUCAAUUUUUGAAGUUAUU
rnacentral:tRNA from 1 species